GGAUACGUCGCCAUCUUGGAUCCGCGGGACAAGAAAAUUCAUGCGAGGGAGACGUGGUGGGCGGUCCUUCCUGUGACACGACCCUUGAGUGACAGUUCUAUUUGAUUGCCUCCGGUACUGUGAGGAAAGGACACGACUCUAUGGUGAGGACUGAUGGACAUACAUUAUCUGAGAAAAGAAACUACCAGGUGACAAACAGCAUGUUUGGUGCUUCAAGAAAGAAGUUUGUAGAGGGGGUCGACAGUGACUACCAUGAUGAAAACAUGUACUACAGCCAGUCUUCUAUGUUUCCACAUCGGUCAGAAAAAGAUUAUGUCUGGAUUUGGAAUGAACAGGAAUCAGGCAUUUGGAAUGAAUAACUCCUUAUCAAGUAACAUUUUUAAUGGAACAGAUGGAAGUGAAAAUGUGACAGGAUUGGACCUUUCAGAUUUCCCAGCAUUAGCAGACCGAAACAGAA
rnacentral:sRNA from 1 species